GACGAACGCUGGCGGCGUGCUUAACACAUGCAAGUCGAACGAUGAAGCUGGAGCUUGCUCCAGUGGAUUAGUGGCGAACGGGUGAGUAACACGUGAGCAACCUGCCCUUGACUCUGGGAUAACUGCUAGAAAUGGUAGCUAAUACCGGAUACGACCCUCGGAGGCAUCUCCAGGGGGUGGAAAGAAUUUCGGUAAAGGAUGGACUCGCGGCCUAUCAGCUAGUUGGUGGGGUAACGGCUCACCAAGGCGACGACGGGUAGCCGGCCUGAGAGGGUGACCGGCCACACUGGGACUGAGACACGGCCCAGACUCCUACGGGAGGCAGCAGUGGGGAAUAUUGCACAAUGGGCGCAAGCCUGAUGCAGCAACGCCGCGUGAGGGAUGACGGCCUUCGGGUUGUAAACCUCUUUUAGUAGGGAAGAAGCGAAAGUGACGGUACCUGCAGAAAAAGCACCGGCUAACUACGUGCCAGCAGCCGCAGUAA
rnacentral:rRNA from 1 species